rnacentral:lncRNA from 1 species
UUCGAACAAACCAACCUACAGUUUCCAAAAUCGCAAUUUCAAACCUCCUAACAACAAUGACCAAAAAUAGGUCAAUGUAACAACACCCAGAGAAAAGAAAACUGAAAUGCAAUUUCAAACCUCAAAUAUAAGCGAUUCAAACUUACCACCAGCAAAAGGCGACUAGAACUCGACCUUCCAGUUCGAAGAAACCAACCUAGGGUUUCGAAAGUCGCGAUUUCAAACCUCUAAACAGCAAUAACCAAAAAUUGGUCAAUGUAACAACAAAAAGACAAAACGAAAAUACAAAUUAGCCUCAAAGCUUCAAUUACUCACCGCGUUCGACAAAUGAAAUCGUAAUCCACACAACUCGCGAUGGCAAAGUUCCAGCGAAAGAAACAAUGACGCGGAAGAAACGAGUCGGAGAUAGAGAGGGAUAAGAGAAGAGCUGUGGGACUGACAGUGAAGAAGUUCAGUGAAGAAGAGGUGCGGGAAUGAAGGUUCGCGAAGAGG